CAGCUACCGGAGUGAUGUAAGAACCUAACCAUAUUCUUGAUCUUUUAUUUGGUUCUCUUAUUUCUGCUACCCACUUACCCCACUUUCUCUUCCUUAUUCCUCUGUAUGGUUUCUCUAGUUGUUGUUUGUUGUGUUUCUCUUGAGGUUUGUUGUUGCUUUCUAUGUUUCUUAUUAUUGUUGAACAACAAUCUCUUUCUUCUUCCAUGAUCCUCCUAGUUGAUUCGCUUUGCUGUACCAUAUAUAUUGUGUCU
rnacentral:lncRNA from 1 species